CGGUCCCUGCAGGACCGCGGAACCACAGAGACGUACGCCGGAAGACUGAGGGGGAACUUCCGGUGCCUGGAGGGGAAAGGCCAUAGAGAUUGCCCUUCGGAGGACCGACCAGUACUUCAGGGUGUCCCGGAGCGCGGGACCAUAACCGCUUACCGGUGGCAGGGCUUCCCGCUCGCAGCCCAGGCAGCCGCAGCCAUCGCCUCGGCACCAAAACCCUGCGGUUUUGAUCCCGCAACCAGCCCCAGGGACGGUGCAGCGCUCUGUGUGUGGGGGCGACAGCAGCAAGUCCGCCGGGGACCAGGAAGGCAGGUGGGGGUGCCGCCUUCUCCACCACAGAAACAUCGGGGAUUUCUGCUUCCCUGCAGGAAAAUGAGGAGGUUGGUUUCGAUAUCUUCGAAUAGGAAAGCCCCUCCGCUUCUUUCCUUGUCGUGGCUUCUUCAGGCCUGUUCUUGCCUCAGGCCGUUUCAAUAAAAAUGGGAGUUACAAAAAUUAGUUCAUACAAUCUUUCUUUACAUGGUUGAUUGGUACAAAGGUUUUAAACAAAGAUACAAGUUGCAGUUUUACCAUUCUUCUUAAGAUAAUGCAUUUUGAUAACAUUGUGGUUAAGCCUGUUCUUGCCAGACAGGACGUUCCUAUGUCUGGUGCAGCGAGAUCAUUCCCCUUGCUUAAGUCGUUUGAUCAGCAAAUUACCCUUAAUUACUUAUUACAUACCCCCCCAGAUCCAAGGGAAGGACCCCACUUUCUGGAAAAGCCAAUACAACGAGGCCGAAGCCAUCCCUCCUAAUUCCUUCCCCCCCUCAAUAAAGAGUCGUUUUUGGGUUGUAGCCCCCCCA
rnacentral:lncRNA from 1 species